rnacentral:rRNA from 1 species
GAUGAACGCUGGCGGCGUGCCUAAUACAUGCAAGUCGAGCGAACAGAUGAGGAGCUUGCUCCUCUGACGUUAGCGGCGGACGGGUGAGUAACACGUGGAUAACCUACCUAUAAGACUGGGAUAACUUCGGGAAACCGGAGCUAAUACCGGAUAAUAUAUUGAACCGCAUGGUUCAAUAGUGAAAGACGGUUUUGCUGUCACUUAUAGAUGGAUCCGCGCCGCAUUAGCUAGUUGGUAAGGUAGCGGCUUACCAAGGCAACGAUGCGUAGCCGACCCGAGAGGGUGAUCGGCCACACUGGAGCUGAGACACGGUCCAGACUCCUACGGGAGGCAGCAGUAGGGAAUCUUCCGCAAUGGGCGAAAGCCUGACGGAGCAACGCCGCGUGAGUGAUGAAGGUCUUCGGAUCGUAAAACUCUGUUAUUAGGGAGGAACAAAUGUGUAAGUAACUAUGCACGUCUUGACGGUACCUAAUCAGAAAGCCACGGCUAACUACGUG